rnacentral:rRNA from 1 species
AGCUUCAAUAGCGUAUAUUAAAGUUGCUGCGGUUAAAAAGCUCGUAGUUGAGUUUCUAGCACGGUCGACUGAUCCAUCUUCAGGGUGUGAAAAUUAGCUUGGCUCCGCUUCUUUCUGGCGAGGUUUUUCUGCACUUCGGUGUGCAGACAGCUGCGCCGAUUAUUACUUUGAGGAAAAUAAAGUUCUUCAAGCAGGCGCACGCCAUGGAUAUGUGAGCAUGGAAUAAGGAUAUAUGCCUCGGCUCAGAUUUUGUUGGUUUCCACUGCUGAGGCAAAGGUUUGCAGGGCCGCUUGGGGGCACUCGUACUUAACUGUCAGAGGUGAAAUUCUUGGAUUUGUUAAAGACGGCCCAGUGCGAAAGCAUUUGCCAAGAAUGUUCUCGUUGAUCAAGAACGAAAGUA